rnacentral:rRNA from 1 species
CUAACUUCGUGCCAGCAGCCGCGGUAAUACGAAGGGACCUAGCGUAGUUCGGAAUUACUGGGCUUAAAGAGUUCGUAGGUGGUUGAAAAAGUUGGUGGUGAAAUCCCAGAGCUUAACUCUGGAACUGCCAUCAAAACUUUUCAGCUAGAGUUUGAUAGAGGAAAGCAGAAUUUCUAGUGUAGAGGUGAAAUUCGUAGAUAUUAGAAAGAAUACCAAUUGCGAAGGCAGCUUUCUGGAUCAUUACUGACACUGAGGAACGAAAGCAUGGGUAGCGAAGAGGAUUAGAUACCCUCGUAGUCCAUGCCGUAAACGAUGUGUGUUAGACGUUGGAAAUUUAUUUUCAGUGUCGCAGCGAAAGCGAUAAACACACCGCCUGGGGAGUACGACCGCAAGGUUAAAACUCAAAUGAAUUGACGGGGACCCGCACAAGUAGUGGAGCAUGUGGUUUAAUUCGAAGAUACGCGCAGAACCUUACCAACACUUGACAUGUUCGUCGCGACUUUAAGAGAUUAAAGUUUUCGGUUCGGCCGGACGAAACACAGGUGCUGCAUGGCUGUCGUCAGCUCGUGUCGUGAGAUGUUGGGUUAAGUCCCGCAACGAGCGCAACCCUCACUUUUAGUUGCCAUCAUUUAGUUGGGCACUCUGAAAGAACUGCCAGUGAUAAGCUGGAGGAAGGUGGGGAUGACGUCAAGUCCUCAUGGCCCUUACGUGUUGGGCUACACACGUGCUACAAUGGUAUCUACAACAGGAAGCAAGACGGCGACGUUAAGCAAAUCCUUAAAAGAUACCUCAGUUCGGAUUGUACUCUGCAACUCGAGU